UUACCUGGUUUGAUCCUGCCAGUAGUCAUAUGCUUGUCUCAAAGAUUAAGCCAUGCAUGUCUAAGUACAGGCCGAAACAAGGCGAAACCGCGAAUGGCUCAUUAAAUCAGUUAUGGUUCAUUGGAUCUUACCUUGUUUUACUUGGAUAACUGUGGUAAUUCUAGAGCUAAUACGUGAUACCCCAGCUCCGACCGCAAGGAAAGAGCGCUUUUAUUAGAUCAAAACCAAUCGGGCUUCGGUCCGUUCUCACUGUGGUGACUCUGAAUAACUUUGAGCUGAGCGCAUGGUCUUCGAACCGGCGCCAUAUCCUUCAAGUGUCUGCCUUAUCAGCUUUCGAUUGUAGGUUAUGCGCCUACAAUGGCUAUAACGGGUAACGGGGAAUCAGGGUUCGAUUCCGGAGAGGGAGCCUGAGAAACGGCUACCACAUCUAAGGAAGGCAGCAGGCACGCAAAUUACCCACUCCCGGCCCGGGGAGGUAGUGACGAAAAAUAACGAUGCGGGACUCUUCCGAGGCCUCGCAAUCGGAAUGAGCACACUUUAAAUCCUUUAACGAGGAUCUAUUGGAGGGCAAGUCUGGUGCCAGCAGCCGCGGUAAUUCCAGCUCCAAUAGCGUAUAUUAAAGUUGCUGCGGUUAAAAAGCUCGUAGUUGGAUCUCAGUUCCGGACCGACGGUUCACCGCCCGGUGCUUACUGUCGGCUUCCGAACAGCCGCACGCCGGCUCGGCCAGGGUGCUCUUCAUCGAGUGUCCUGGUUUCGGCCGGCACGUUUACUUUGAAAAAAUUAGAGUGCUCAGCGCAGGCUGCAACGCCUGAAUAAUCUGUGCAUGGAAUAAUGGAAUAGGACCUCGGUUCUAUUUUGUUGGUUUUCGGAACCCGAGGUAAUGAUUAAUAGGAACUGUCGGGGGCAUUCGUAUUGCGACGUUAGAGGUGAAAUUCUUGGAUCGUCGCAAGACGGACUACUGCGAAAGCAUUUGCCAAGAAUGUUUUCAUUAAUCAAGAACGAAAGUUAGAGGUUCGAAGGCGAUCAGAUACCGCCCUAGUUCUAACCAUAAACGAUGCCAACCAGCGAUCCGCCGGCGUUAUUCCCAUGACUCGGCGGGCAGCUUCCGGGAAACCAAAGUCUCUGGGUUCCGGGGGAAGUAUGGUUGCAAAGCUGAAACUUAAAGGAAUUGACGGAAGGGCACCACCAGGAGUGGAGCCUGCGGCUUAAUUUGACUCAACACGGGGAACCUCACCAGGCCCGGACACCGGAAGGAUUGACAGAUUGAGAGCUCUUUCUCGAUUCGGUGGGUGGUGGUGCAUGGCCGUUCUUAGUUGGUGGAGCGAUUUGUCUGGUUAAUUCCGAUAACGAACGAGACUCAA
rnacentral:rRNA from 1 species